UAUUGACCUCACGUCGUCCACAAGCGGGAGGCACGGGCAGCACCCCAAUCUCGGCGUCGUCGACUCUCUCCCUCCUCCACCUCACCACUGUUGGAUCGCUCCUCCGUGAGGCUUGUGCAGGCGCAAGGAACGCAGCGGCGGCCUCCCUGUACCCUGGGGUCACAGCUGCUAUCCUGGGUAGCAAUGGCUUCGUUGGCCAGAUCCGGUGCCUUGGUGGCCGGAUCCGGUGUCUCUAAGGUUGGAUCUGCAUGGUGCUUUUUCGGCAGGGCGCAACGGCAGUAGUGGAGGCGCGAUGGGUCGUAGGCCACCGGUCAGUCUCCAUCGGAUUGGGCACAUGAGGUAGGAGAUAGGGGAAGGAAGGGGUAGUACAGAUUCUUGUGUGCUUGUUCAAUGAGAGAUUACUUAAUUAUCCAAUCAGAGGAGCUCCUGUCGUGCUUGAGGAGGAAUUCUGGUUUAUUUCCAAUUGACAGUCGCUGAAAAAUAAUAUCCAGUAUGGAAGUCUUUACUGAGUGUAGGAGGCUAAGGGCAGUGCCUACGUUUUCAAGGGCGUUUUGAAGAGCAUUAGCUGAUUUCAUGUAUAGUUAGUGAUGAUGCCAUGAUAUUGAUUUUGGGCACCUGACGUGAGAGCUUUAUUAUAAUAGUUUUUGCAAACUUGAAUGUAACGAGCAUGAUGUCAAAUUCAAGGAAACAGGCCACACUAAAAUGUACUUCCCUCAAGGAAACAAGGCACACUAAGAUAUACUUCCCUCAGGGAGCUUCCAUCGCCUGAGUGGGGAGCAGCACGACACGGGUGUGAGCGCAUGCACUGGCGCAAGUGAAAUCAAAUUGGAGGAGGUUGCUAUUCUGAAUUACGCCUACACAAAGCUCUUCGACUUCAUCUCAAGGUGGAAUAUGGGUGUUGCUGAACAAUGUGAAGCUAUGUUUUAUCUUGGAAUUUGACAGAAUGGAAAUUGGCUUUGUUGGUAGUCUCUUCGGAUUGUUUAGCUAGGUGAACAUACCUUAUUGUACGAAGAACAGUCAUUUACUGAUCUGCUGACGCUCUUGCCAUGCCGAAGUAUAAAAAAUCUUUAUCAGGUUUAUCAAAUACUUCAUCCAUCCCAAAUUCAUUCCAAGAAUCUUGGAG